rnacentral:rRNA from 1 species
AGAGUUUGAUCCUGGCUCAGGAUGAACGCUAGCGGGAGGCCUAAUACAUGCAAGUCGAACGGUAAUCUAGUUGCUUGCAACUAGAACGAGUGGCGCACGGGUGAGUAACGCGUACGCGACCUGCCCCCAAGAGGGAAAUAGCCCUGGGAAACCGGGAUUAAUGUCCCAUGUGAUUGUAUUUCUAAGGGAUAUAAUUAAAGGAGCGAUCCGCUUGAGGAUGGGCGUGCGUGCUAUUAGCUAGUUGGUGAGGUAAUGGCUCACCAAGGCGACGAUAGCUAGGGGGCGUGAGAGCGUGAUCCCCCACACGGGUACUGAGACACGGACCCGACUCCUACGGGAGGCAGCAGUAAGGAAUAUUGGACAAUGGGGGCAACCCUGAUCCAGCCAUCCCGCGUGCAGGAAGACGGCCCUAUGGGUUGUAAACUGCUUUUAUUAGGGAAGAACAGCAUCAAUGUAUUGGUGUAUGACGGUACCUAAAGAAUAAGCACCGGCUAACUCCGUGCCAGCAGCCGCGGUAAUACGGAGGGUGCAAGCGUUAUCCGGAAUCACUGGGUUUAAAGGGUGCGUAGGUGGAAUAAUAAGUCAGGCGUGAAAGGUUACAGCUUAACUGUAGACUUGCGUUUGAUACUGUUAUUCUUGAAUUAAGAUGAGGUUGGCAGAAUGCGACAUGUAGCGGUGAAAUGCAUAGAUAUGUCGUA